rnacentral:RNase_P_RNA from 1 species
GCUACAAGCCAGGCUAUCGCUUUGCUGCCAUAGGCGGGAAGGAGGAAAGUCCGGACAGUAUAGAGCAAUGCACCGGUGAAUAGCCGGGCUCCGGGAAACCGGUGACAGAAAGUGCCACAGAAAAUAACCUCACCCCUCAACUCAUAUUAAUAAUAUAUGGGCUGAGGGGUGAAAGGGUGAAAAUGUGAGGUAAGAGCUCACGGCUUUUGAUGGUAACAUCAAUUGCGGGUAAACCUUGCAUGCUGAAAUGCCACGUAUAGGAUCGUUUUGAGAACUGCUCGUUCAAGAUCCAGGGUAGGCAGAUUGAUCCUGCAGAGUAAUUUGCGGGACAGAUAAAUGAUAGCCCACGACAGAAUCCGGCUUACCGGCUUGUAGCUUUU